UACAGAGGGUGCGAGCGUUGUUCGGAAUUAUUGGGCGUAAAGGGCGCGUAGGCGGUGCGGCAAGUCACCUGUGAAACCUCUGGGCUUAACCCAGAGCCUGCAGGCGAAACUGCCGUGCUGGAGUGUGGGAGAGGUGCGUGGAAUUCCCGGUGUAGCGGUGAAAUACGUAGAGAUUGGGAAGAACACCAGUGGCGAAGGCGGCUAUCUGGACGGUUUCUGACGCUAAGACGCGAAAGCGUGGGGAGCAAACAGG
rnacentral:rRNA from 1 species